UACGAAGGUCCCGAACGUUGAGCGAAUUUACUGGGCGUAAAGGGUCCGUAGGCGGUUUAGCAAGUGGUUGGUGAAAUUUCACGGCUCAACCGUGAAACUGCCUUCCAAACUGCUAAACUUGAGGCAGGGAGAGGUCGGCGGAAUUCCCGGUGUAGCGGUGAAAUGCGUAGAUAUCGGGAGGAACAACAGUGGCGAAGGCGGCCGACUGGAACUGUCCUGACGCUGAGGGACGAAAGCUAGGGGAGCAAACCGG
rnacentral:rRNA from 1 species